CUUGCUCAGUUCUGAGCAGUAGUGCUUGAUUGCUGGGAGAGCCAUGAAGACACUGGUGACUUUUGCCCUUGUGGGACUCCUAGCCCUUUGGCUACCUUUCACAGCUUGUCAGAAGACUCCACAAGGCAAACCUGGAACCUGCCCAACAAAUCCUUGCUUCUGCACUGGCCCUCAACCUGAUGAGUGCAGAGAUGACUAUUCUUGCCGAGGAUGGAAGAAGUGUUGCUAUUCCUGCUGCGCAAUGCGCUGUGUGGAUCCAAGAUUCCGGAAUGUGGAAUGAUGUUUCCCCUUCAUCCUAAAAUGGCUGAAGACCACAGGUGUUGGCGGCUAAUCGUGCUUAUGAAGACUGGGAGAGAAGCAAAAUGUUCGAGCGGGAAACGGGCUUCUUUUCAUUAUUUUUCU